AAGAGCUGAUGUUUCUGUUCCAGUUCAGAGGCAGGAAAAGACUGAGGUCUUAGUUCAAGCAGUCAGGCAGGACUUCUCCCUUACUUGUUCUAUUCAGACCUUCAACUGAUUGGAUGAGGGCCACUUACAUUAGGGUGUAGGCUUAUUUGAAGGCAAUUGUAUCAACACAUUUUGAAAGCCAAGACACAAGUAUUUUAAGUUUCUGUUUAACCAAGUCUCGAGAUAAGCAGAGUAAAUAAACUCUUUAGAAGCAAGACUCAGUUGGUAUGUACAAAGUGGGAUUGCUUUGUAUAUAUUCCUCUUAGACUUGGGCAGUGAUGUUUCCUUUCUGUGAUUAUGUGUCACAGAUUUUUAUAUG
rnacentral:lncRNA from 1 species